AGACAGCAGCUGUUGCGCCAGCUUCCUUGUACCUCACCUGCUGAAAAGCCAGCAGCUCCAACAGGAACUAGGCUCCGGCCGACUACACAGGUGAGCUGGGCUGGACUGCGGCCAAGGGCACCCUUCCCACCAACCUCUCCUUCCCACCGCCCUGCACCCAAAGCCAGGAAUUAGACUGCCAGAAAGAGGAAGGCGGCUCUGGGCCUCGGACACAGCCAUUGGGUAUCUCGAUGAUUCUGCUCUCUCCCUGGGCUGUGGCACACCCACACCAAUGAAUGGAGCCGUCGGCUCCCUGGAGUCACAGCCACACCCGCACAGUCCUAACUGCACCACCUCGGGGACUCUCUGCCUGCCUGCUUAACUGGAAUCUCAGCCCCUCGGGACAGAAUGAUAACUUUGAGGCUGAGGCGUCGGAUUCAAGAGACCACCCAGUUACCAGCUCUUCGAUUUCUGAGAUUUUCUUGAGUUCGUUUUGAUUUUUUUUUAACUUUCCCACCUCCCCGCCCCCUGGAUGGCCCCUCCGGUACCGCCUCCUCCCGAGGAGGAUGCAGCAUCCCACGCGCGCGAGCUCCGCAAUCACUCACAGAGGGUUCCAGCGCUCCGGGAGACGUCGGUGCAGCGAGAUGCGGUCGCUCAGGAUUCUACUGGAGAAACAGAACCAGGAAAAGAGAGACUAAGUCAUUCACGAUACAUCCACGAAGUGGGCCAUCGGGAAGGAUGGACUGAACUGCUGGGCGUCAGACAUCUGUGGUAGAGAAGCGAAUCCCUUCUUCUCCAAGGCAAGCCCGGCCUGGCUCAGGCUCACUCAGAGAGGCUGUAAGGCCUGGAGCUCCAACAGCUACCUUGAAUCCUGAGAUACAUCAAGCUGCCACUGAAGCAUGGACUUCCCUGGAUCUGGUGCGCUGACAUGUCGCGUGGUGACUUAGAAAAAAGAGCUUCCAAUUCUUGGUGACUUUCUUUUGAGCCAGCAGACUCCUCACUACUUCAGUCAAUAGAGCAUGGGAGAAGCUAAGCUCUGCAGGUCCCAGGCUGGUGAUAAGAGGCAAGGAAGCGUCUACUUUAUGACCUGGCAAGUCAUCCAUCUGCGCAGCUACUGCCAUUCCAGAGAGGCUGAGCCUCCUCCCUGCAGCCAGUGGCCCCAGACUUGUGGGCACCAGGCAAGCAUGUGAAGCAGCUGUUGCAGACAUGGCUCCUCCCUUCUUUCUCUGCAGACAUGGCUCCUCCCUUCUUUCUCUGCAGACAUGGCUCCUCCCUUCUUUCUCUGCAGACAUGGCUCCUCCCUUCUUUCUCUUAGCUCUGCAGUCACUCCAGCUUUCAAGUCUCAGCUGUGGCCAGGUCUCACCAGAGUCCUCAGCCAGAGGUCUUCCUCAAGGGAGUUCUCACAUACCAGGUCCUGACCCUCACACCAAGAGGUCCCAAGCAAGGACGGAGUGGUGGAGAAACAGGAAAGAAACCAAUUUCAGUGAACCGAUGCCAGAAGGGAUGAGGGCUCAUGCCCAAGGCCCUCUGUGUGAGAGACAGAGACUGUGUUUCUUUCUCAGUUGAGCUCUACUUUCGUUUGGGGGUCAUAAUACCUCAUUGAAUCUGAAGAUCACCAAAUUAGCUAGGCUGGUUUGGCCCAUAAGCCUCACAACCUCAAGGGCUGGGGUUGCGGAUUUAUACUACCUGGUCCAGUAUUAAAAUUUUGUUAUUGGGAGCUCA